AUGCACGCUGGCGGCGUGCCUAAUACCUGCAAGUCGCGCGAACAGACGAGGAGCUUGCUCCUCUGACGUUAGCGGCGGACGGGUGAGUAACACGUGGAUAACCUACCUAUAAGACUGGGAUAACUUCGGGAAACCGGAGCUAAUACCGGAUAAUAUAUUGAACCGCAUGGUUCCAUAGUGAAAGACGGUUUUGCUGUCACUUAUAGAUGGAUCCGCGCCGCAUUAGCUAGUUGGUAAGGUAACGGCUUACCAAGGCGACGAUGCGUAGCCGACCUGAGAGGGUGAUCGGCCACACUGGAACUGAGACACGGUCCAGACUCCUACGGGAGGCAGCAGUAGGGAAUCUUCCGCAAUGGGCGAAAGCCUGACGGAGCAACGCCGCGUGAGUGAUGAAGGUCUUCGGAUCGUAAAACUCUGUUAUUAGGGAAGAACAAAUGUGUAAGUAACUAUGCACGUCUUGACGGUACCUAAUCAGAAAGCCACGGCUAACUACGUG
rnacentral:rRNA from 1 species